UACGUAGGUGGCAAGCGUUGUCCGGAUUUAUUGGGCGUAAAGCGAGCGCAGGCGGUUUCUUAAGUCUGAUGUGAAAGCCCCCGGCUCAACCGGGGAGGGUCAUUGGAAACUGGAAAACUUGAGUGCAGAAGAGGAAAGUGGAAUUCCAUGUGUAGCGGUGAAAUGCGCAGAGAUAUGGAGGAACACCAGUGGCGAAGGCGACUUGCUGGAAUCUAACUGACGCUGAGGUACGAAAGCGUGGGGAGCAAACAGG
rnacentral:rRNA from 1 species